rnacentral:rRNA from 1 species
GCCUGCGUGAAGUUGGAAUCGCUAGUAAUCGCGGAUCAGCAUGCCGCGGUGAAUACGUUCCCGGGCCUCGUACACACCGCCCGUCACACCAUGAGAGUCGGGAACACCCGAAGUCCGUAGCCUAACUUUAACGAGGGGGCGCGGCCGAAGGUGGGUUCGAUAAUUGGGGUGAAGUCGUAACAAGGUAUC